rnacentral:rRNA from 1 species
GGCCGCGGGAAUUCGAUUCAGGCCUAACACAUGCAAGUCGAGCGGGGAUAGGGUGCUUGCACCUGAUUCCUAGCGGCGGACGGGUGAGUAAUGCUUAGGAAUUUGCCUAUUAGUGGGGGACAACGUUCCGAAAGGGACGCUAAUACCGCAUACGUCCUACGGGAGAAAGCAGGGGAUCUUCGGACCUUGCGCUAAUAGAUGAGCCUAAGUCGGAUUAGCUAGUUGGUGGGGUAAAGGCCUACCAAGGCGACGAUCUGUAGCGGGUCUGAGAGGAUGAUCCGCCACACUGGGACUGAGACACGGCCCAGACUCCUACGGGAGGCAGCAGUGGGGAAUAUUGGACAAUGGGGGGAACCCUGAUCCAGCCAUGCCGCGUGUGUGAAGAAGGCCUUUUGGUUGUAAAGCACAGGAAGCGAGGAGGAGGCUUACCUGGUUAAUACCUGGGAUAAGUGGACGUACUCGCAGAAU